UACGUAGGGUGCAAGCGUUGUCCGGAAUUAUUGGGCGUAAAGAGCUCGUAGGCGGUUUGUUGCGUCGGCUGUGAAGUCCCUCGGCUCAACCAAGGAAGUGCAUCCGAAACUGCUGAGCUUGAGUACUUAAGAGGAUCGCGGAAUUCCCGGUGUAGAGGUGAAAUUCGUAGAUAUCGGGAGGAACACCAGUGGCGAAGGCGGCGAUCUGGGAAGAUACUGACGCUGAGGUGCGAAAGCGUGGGGAGCAAACAGG
rnacentral:rRNA from 1 species